AUUGAACGCUGGCGGAAUGCUUUACACAUGCAAGUCGAACGGCAGCACGGGGGCAGCCCUGGUGGCGAGUGGCGAACGGGUGAGUAAUACAUCGGAACGUGCCCGGUCGUGGGGGAUAACGUAGCGAAAGUUACGCUAAUACCGCAUACGAUCUGAGGAUGAAAGCGGGGGACCUUCGGGCCUCGCGCGAUCGGAGCGGCCGAUGUCAGAUUAGGUAGUUGGUGGGGUAAGGGCCUACCAAGCCGACGAUCUGUAGCUGGUCUGAGAGGACGACCAGCCACACUGGGACUGAGACACGGCCCAGACUCCUACGGGAGGCAGCAGUGGGGAAUUUUGGACAAUGGGCGCAAGCCUGAUCCAGCCAUUCCGCGUGCAGGACGAAGGCCUUCGGGUUGUAAACUGCUUUUGUACGGAACGAAAAGGCUCUGGCUAAUACCUGGGGCUCAUGACGGUACCGUAAGAAUAAGCACCGGCUAACUACGU
rnacentral:rRNA from 1 species